rnacentral:rRNA from 1 species
CGACCGGCGCACGGGUGAGUAACACGUAUCCAACCUGCCGUCUACUCUUGGCCAGCCUUCUGAAAGGAAGAUUAAUCCAGGAUGGCAUCAUGAGUUCACAUGUCCGCAUGAUUAAAGGUAUUUUCCGGUAGACGAUGGGGACGCGUUCCAUUAGAUAGUAGGCGGGGUAACGGCCCACCUAGUCAACGAUGGAUAGGGGUUCUGAGAGGAAGGUCCCCCACAUUGGAACUGAGACACGGUCCAA